GAUGAACGCUGGCGGCGUGCCUAAUACAUGCAAGUCGAGCGAACGGACGAGAAGCUUGCUUUUCUGAUGUUAGCGGCGGACGGGUGAGUAACACGUGGAUAACCUACCUAUAAGACUGGGAUAACUUCGGGAAACCGGAGCUAAUACCGGAUAAUAUUUUGAACCGCAUGGUUCAAAAGUGAAAGACGGUCUUGCUGUCACUUAUAGAUGGAUCCGCGCUGCAUUAGCUAGUUGGUAAGGUAACGGCUUACCAAGGCAACGAUGCAUAGCCGACCUAGAGGGUGAUCGGCCACACUGGAACUGAGACACGGUCCAGACUCCUACGGGAGGCAGCAGUAGGGAAUCUUCCGCAAUGGGCGAAAGCCUGACGGAGCAACGCCGCGUGAGUGAUGAAGGUCUUCGGAUCGUAAAACUCUGUUAUUAGGGAAGAACAUAUGUGUAAGUAACUGUGCACAUCUUGACGGUACCUAAUCAGAAAGCCACGGCUAACUACGUG
rnacentral:rRNA from 1 species